AAGCAACGCGAAGAACCUUACCUAGACUUGUACAUCUCUGAAUUACCGUAACUGGGAAGCUCUUCGGAGCAGGAAGACAGGUGGUGCAUGGUUGUCGUCAGCUCGUGUCGUGAGAUGUUGGGUUAAGUCCCGCAACGAGCGCAACCCUUAUCGUUAGUUGCUACCAUUAGGUUGAGCACUCUAGCGAGACUGCCGGGUUAACCGGGAGGAAGGUGGGGAUGACGUCAAAUCAUCAUGCCCCUUAUGUCUAGGGCUACACACGUGCUACAAUGGUGAGAACAAAGAGAGGCAAGACCGCGAGGUGGAGCAAAUCUCACAAAACUCAUCCCAGUUCGGAUUGCAGGCUGAAACUCGCCUGCAUGAAGCCGGAGUUGCUAGUAAUCGCGAAUCAGCAUGUCGCGGUGAAUACGUUCCCGGGCCUU
rnacentral:rRNA from 1 species